AUGGCCGAUCCUCGCGUGAGACAGAUCAAGAUCAAAACCGGUGUAGUCAGGCGAUUGGUCAAAGAAAAAGUGAUGUAUGAAAAAGAAGCUAAACAAGAAGAAAAGAUUGAAAAAAAUGAAGGCUGAAGAUGGUGAAAAUUAUGCCAUUAAAAAGCAGGCAGAGAUCUUGCAAGAGUCCCGUAUGAUGAUCCCAGACUGCCAGCGCAGAUUGGAAGCGGCGUAUGCCGAUCUUCAGCAGUUAUUAGACAGUGAGAAAGACUUGGAAGAAGCAGAAGAAUAUAAAGAAGCACGUGUCGUUCUAGAUUCAGUGAAGUUAGAAGCCUGA